GACGAACGCUGGCGGCGUGCUUAACACAUGCAAGUCGAACGAAGUGGCGAACGGGGGAGUAACGCGUAAUCAACCUGCCAUUCAGAGGGGGACAACAGUUGGAAACGACUACUACUACCGCACACGGAAGGAGGGGACUGGGUCGGAUUAGAUAGUUGGGGGGGGAACGGCCCACCAAGGCGAUGAUCAGGGGCCGGUCAGAGAGGAUGAACGGCCAAAUUGGGACUGAGGCACGGCCCAGACUCCCACGGGAGGCAGCAGUGUGGAAAUUGCCGCAAUGGACGAAAGUCUGACGGAGGAACGGCGCGGGAGUGAUAACGGCCUUCGGGUUGUAAAGCUCUUUUAAUCGGGACGCGGUACCGGAAUAGAAAGCCACGGCUAACUACGUGCCAGCAGCCGCGGUAAUAC
rnacentral:rRNA from 1 species